rnacentral:rRNA from 1 species
AUUGAACGCUGGCGGCAUGCCUUACACAUGCAAGUCGAACGGCAGCGCGGGGCAACCUGGCGGCGAGUGGCGAACGGGUGAGUAAUAUAUCGGAACAUACCCUAGAGUGGGGAUAACGUAGCGAAAGUUACGCUAAUACCGCAUACGCACUAAGGUGGAAAGUGGGGGAUCUUCGGACCUCAUGCUCAUGGAGUGGCCGAUAUCUGAUUAGCUAGUUGGUGAGGUAAAGGCUCACCAAGGCGACGAUCAGUAGCUGGUUUGAGAGAACGACCAGCCACACUGGAACUGAGACACGGUCCAGACUCCUACGGGAGGCAGCAGUAAGGAAUAUUGGUCAAUGGACGCAAGUCUGAACCAGCCAUGCCGCGUGGAGGAUGAAGGUCCUCUGGAUUGUAAACUUCUUUUAUUUGGGAAGAAACCCACGAUUUCUAUUGUGGUUGACGGUACCAGAUGAAUAAGCACCGGCUAACUCCGUGCCAGCAGCCGCGGUAAU